AGCAGCCGCGGUAAUUCCAGCUCCAAUAGCGUAUAUUAAAGUUGUUGCAGUUAAAAAGCUCGUAGUUGAAUUUCGGGGUUAGUAGGUUGGUCAUGCCUCUGGUAUGUACUGGUCUCACUGAUUCCUCCUUCCUGAUGAACCGUAAUGCCAUUAAUUUGGUGUUGCGGGGAAUUUGGACUGUUACUUUGAAAAAAUUAGAGUGUUUAAAGCAAGCUAACGCUUGAAUACAUUAGCAUGGAAUAAUGAAAUAGGACGUUCGAUCCUAUUUUGUUGGUUUCUAGGAUUGACGUAAUGAUUAAUAGGGAUAGUUGGGGGCAUUAGUAUUCAAUUGUCAGAGGUGAAAUUCUUGGAUUUAUUGAAGACUAACUACUGCGAAAGCAUUUACCAAGGAUGUUUUCAUUAAUCAAGAACGAAAGUUAGGGGAUCGAAGACGAUCAGAUACCGUCGUAGUCUUAACCAUAAACUAUGCCGACUAGGGAUCGGAUGAUGUUAAUUUUUUAAUGACUCA
rnacentral:rRNA from 1 species